rnacentral:ncRNA from 2 species
CCCAUCUCAACGGGGUGCUGUUGUGACAACACAACACUGCUGAGAAUAAACCCGUCGAACCUGAACCGGCUAGUACCGUCGUAGGGAUUUGAGAUGCUAAUCAUU